rnacentral:rRNA from 1 species
AAAACAUGCAGUCGCUGUUCACUGGUGAUUCAUAAUAACUUCUCGAAUCGCACGGCUUGUUGCUGGCGAUGCUUCAUUCAAAUAUCUGCCCUAUCAACUUUCGAUGGUAGGAUAGUGGCCUACCAUGGUUUCAACGGGUAACGGGGAAUAAGGGUUCGAUUCCGGAGAGGGAGCCUGAGAAACGGCUACCACAUCCAAGGAAGGCAGCAGGCGCGCAAAUUACCCAAUCCCGACACGGGGAGGUAGUGACAAUAAAUAACAAUAUAGGGCUCUUUUGGGUCUUAUAAUUGGAAUGAGUACAAUUUAAAUCCCUUAACGAGGAACAAUUGGAGGGCAAGUCUGGUGCCAGCAGCCGCGGUAAUUCCAGCUCCAAUAGCGUAUAUUAAAGUUGUUGCAGUUAAAAAGCUCGUAGUUGAACUUCAGACCUGGCUGGAUGGUCUACCUAACGGUAUGUACUGUUUGGCUGGGUCUUACCUCUUGGUGAGCCCGGAUGCCCUUUUACUUGGGUGUG